rnacentral:lncRNA from 1 species
GUACUUGGAAUAUGCAUGCUUUCCCACUAAUCAUGAUUUAUGUUUAAAAACAUUUGUUUAAGGUCAUGCUUGGGAUAUGUACAUUAUUAUUAUACAGCUAAUAAACAUGCAGUGGGAUCUUCCUCAAAUCUCCUUUCAUUAAUGAUUCACAACAGUAGGAAGAAGAGGUUUUGCACCAAAAGUUGAGAAGAAAGCCAAUCCAC